rnacentral:rRNA from 1 species
AUUGAACGCUGGCGGCAGGCCUAACACAUGCAAGUCGAGCGAGCGGCGGACGGGUGAGUAAUGUCUGGGAAACUGCCCGAUGGAGGGGGAUAAAUACUGGAAACGGUAGCUAAUAUCGCAUAUCCUCCGAUGUGACCCGAUGGGAUUAGCUAGUGGGUGGGGUAACGGCUCACCUGGGCGACGAUACCUAGCUGGUCUGAGAGGAUGAACAGCCACACGGGAAUGUGGCCACGGUCCAGCCUCCUACGGGAGGCAGCAGUGGGGAAGAUUGCACAAUGGGGGCAAGCCUGAUGCAGCCAUGCCGCGUGUGUGAAGAAGGCCUUCGGGUUGUAAAGCACUUUCAGCGUGGAGGCGUUACCCGCAGAAGAAGCACCGGCUAACUCCGUGCCAGCCGCCGCGGUAAUAC